rnacentral:rRNA from 1 species
GACGAACGCUGGCGGCGUGCUUAACACAUGCAAGUCGAACGGUAAGGCCCCAGCUUGCUGGGGUACACGAGUGGCGAACGGGUGAGUAACACGUGGGUGACCUGCCCCGCACUUCGGGAUAAGCCUGGGAAACUGGGUCUAAUACCGGAUAGGACCGCACCGUGAGGGUGUGGUGGAAAGUUUUUCGGUGUGGGAUGGGCCCGCGGCCUAUCAGCUUGUUGGUGGGGUAAUGGCCUACCAAGGCGGCGACGGGUAGCCGGCCUGAGAGGGUGGACGGCCACAUUGGGACUGAGACACGGCCCAGACUCCUACGGGAGGCAGCAGUGGGGAAUAUUGCACAAUGGGCGGAAGCCUGAUGCAGCGACGCCGCGUGGGGGAUGACGGCCUUCGGGUUGUAAACUCCUUUCACCAUCGACGAAGGUUUUCUGACGGUAGAUGGAGAAGAAGCACCGGCUAACUACGUGCCAGCAGCCGCAGUAAAAC